rnacentral:lncRNA from 1 species
AUGGAAGGAGAGGACUGCUGCCCACCUGGCUUGGAGGGGAAGAGAAUAUGUGACUCUAGGGAAGAAGCUAUUCUGGCCCAGCCAUGCUGUGGAAGUGCAGGUUUCCUCACCAGAUGGGAGUCUGGUGGUGGAAGGAGGGGAUUUUGGCAGGAUGGAGCUGGUCACAGAACUUUCUCCCUGGUCCAAGGAAUGGUGCAGAUGAGGUGCACUGUAUGCCAGUGCCUGGACUGCAUGGUCUGAGGUUACAUCCUGCAACCUUCAAGUGUAAAAGCAGAAUUUCUGUUUGGUGUGAAUAUUGAGGAACCCAAGUAGCUGCAGUUUUCCAGGAAGAGUGUGCCUCCCUUCCAGUGUCUAAUCUCUUUGUCCCACCCUGCACAACCCUUUACUGGCCUCUAUAGUGUUGCUGUCAUCUUAGGAGUUGCAGUAGCAGCUCUGAGGCACCAUUUGCAGUGUGAUUUCUGGGAUGGGUUUCUGUGAACUCCAUUAGAGUAGAUGUCAAAAAAGUAACAGCUGUGUGCAACCAUAUGAUGUUAAGUAACUGAGGUGGGGAUGACUGAAAGCAGCUGCAUCUCGGUGCACUAUGCUGAUUUUUCAAGUGUUUAAAACUGGUCUAGCUGUCUGGAUCUCUAGGAAGGUAUCUAGAUCAG